AGCAAGUGAGUGGGAGGUUAGUAAAUAUAACUUACAUCGAAAACCGGUCACUCUUUUCCUGCUCAAUGCUUUUCUAAGAAGCUCGAGGUGGCUGAAUUCUCCGGCCUUAGGUCGAGUGGAUGUGUGACUUUCGCCAAGAAUGCUAGGGAGGCUUCUUUCUUCGACGCAGUGGCUGCACAGCUCACUCCAAUGAUGAAUUAACGUUUUGACUCGAAAAUGAACGAUAAAAUGAGCUUUAGCAUAGGAGAUGUUGAUCCACCGUCUCCGACGACAUACUCCACACCAUGUGAGUCACCGGAGAGCAGAGGCGCAGCUUGUCUCAGUGAUGCUCGGAUCAAUACAUGCAUAAUAUUUUAGCCUAUAAAUAUGUUAUUUAAGGGCUGGGUUUCCACACAUACCUACUUACGGUUGUCAAUCCAUUACUAUGUUUUCUUUUUUAGAUUGA